rnacentral:rRNA from 1 species
GACGAACGCUGGCGGCGUGCUUAACACAUGCAAGUCGAGCGGUAAGGCCCUUUCGGGGGGUACACGAGCGGCGAACGGGUGAGUAACACGUGGGUGACCUGCCCUCAGCUCUGGGAUAAGCCUGGGAAACUGGGUCUAAUACUGGAUAUGACUCCACGGUGCAUGUCGUGGGGUGGAAAGCCUUGUGCGGCUGAGGAUGGGCCCGCGGCCUAUCAGCUUGUUGGUGGGGNGAUGGCCUACCAAGGCGACGACGGGUAGCCGGCCUGAGAGGGCGACCGGCCACACUGGGACUGAGACACGGCCCAGACUCCUACGGGAGGCGAGCAGUGGGGAAUCUUGCGCAAUGGGCGAAAGCCUGACGCAGCGACGCCGCGUGAGGAUGACGGCCU